GACGAACGCUGGCGGCGUGCUUAACACAUGCAAGUCGAACGGAAAGGCCCUGCUUUUGUGGGGUGCUCGAGUGGCGAACGGGUGAGUAACACGUGAGUAACCUGCCCUUGACUUUGGGAUAACUUCAGGAAACUGGGGCUAAUACCGGAUAGGAGCUCCUGCUGCAUGGUGGGGGUUGGAACGUUUCGGCGGUUGGGGAUGGACUCGCGGCUUAUCAGCUUGUUGGUGGGGUAGUGGCUUACCAAGGCUUUGACGGGUAGCCGGCCUGAGAGGGUGACCGGCCACAUUGGGACUGCGAGACGGCGCAGACUGGUACGGGAGGCAGCAGUGGGGAAUAUUGCACAAUGGGCGGAAGUCUGAGGAAGCAACGCCGCGUGCGGGAUGACGGCCUGCGGGGUGUAAACCGCUGUAGCCUGUGACGAAGCGGGAGUGACGGUAAUGGGUAAAGAAGCACCGGCUAACUACGUG
rnacentral:rRNA from 1 species